CGUGUAGGCGGAGAUGCAAGUUGGGAGUGAAAUCCAUGGGCUCAACCCAUGAACUGCUCUCAAAACUGUAUCCCUUGAGUAUCGGAGAGGCAAGCGGAAUUCCUAGUGUAGCGGUGAAAUGCGUAGAUAUUAGGAGGAACACCAGUGGCGAAGGCGGCUUGCUGGACGACAACUGACGCUGAGGCGCGAAAGCGUGGGGAGCAAACA
rnacentral:rRNA from 1 species